AAACUUAACCCUGCAGAUGAAAUGCCAUAAUUGCAAAGAUGGUUUUCUUAGGGUUAGGCCUUUUCAUUUUACUUCUGGUGUGCUUACCUCUGCAGUUUUCCCAAGUAUUGGAACUUGACUACAUAUUUUAUGGUAGUGAUGAAUUACAUUUGUAUUCUAUUC
ensembl:snRNA U1 U1 spliceosomal RNA